rnacentral:rRNA from 1 species
AUGGAGCAAUUGGAGAAGAGGAUGGAUGUUGCAAAACAACAAAUCAAAGAGCUGCGUGAAGAUCUUAAUCGGAGAUUUGGUCGGCUGGUUGAGAUGAUAAGAAAGGGUGUCCCCCCUGCUGCCAAUGAGGGAGAUUCAUCUAAAGAAGAUGUUCAACAAAGAAGGAGAGGUAAUCUUGGAGCAAGACCGCCACAACAACGUGCUGUUCAACGUGCUUCAAGAAGGCCAAUUUAUGUUGAAGCUUCUGAAGGUGAAGAAUAUGACGAUGCCCUUGAAGAAGCAGAUCUCUACGCAUAUCGGAGAGCACCCAACCCUACAUAUGCAAGAGAUACAUACAAGGUGAAAGCUGAGAUCCCAAGUUUUAAUGGAAAUGUUGACAUUGAAGGGUGCCUGGAUUGGUUAUAUGAAGUGGAGACUUUCUUUGAGGUCAUGGAGGUUCCGGAAGAUCGUAGAGUUCCUUUGGUCGCAUACAAACUGAAAGGAGGAGCCGGUGCAUGGUGGCAUCGCGUUCAAGAGGAGCGCAGGCUGAGAGGAGAACCUCGUGUUAGAACUUGGCGACAAAUGAAAGGCCUCUUGAAAGGGAGAUUUUUGCCUGCUGAUUAUGACCAGAUCCUAUUUAUCCAAUUUCAAAAUUGUGCUCAAGGAAAUAGGACUGUUUCAGAUUACAUGGAGGAGUUUCUAAGGCUACAAGUGAGGUGCAACCUUGCUGAAACUGAAGAGCAACAAGUUGCAAGGUACAUCAAUGGUCUCAAUGAUGCUAUUCAAGAUCGAUUGAUGAUGCAACAAAUCUGGUCCGUUGAUCAAGCACAGCUCUAG